rnacentral:rRNA from 1 species
AUUGAACGCUGGCGGCAGGCCUAACACAUGCAAUUCGAACGAGUGGCGGACGGGUGAGUAAUGUCUGGGAAACUGCCUGAUGGAGGGGGAUAACUACUGGAAACGGUAGCUAAUACCACAUACCAUCGGAUGUGCCCAGAUGGGAUUAGCUAGUAGGUGGGGUAAAGGCUCACCUAGGCGACUAUCCCUAGCUGGUCGGAGAGGAGGACCAGCCAUACUGGAACUGAGACCAGGGCCAUAUUCCUACGGGAGGGAGCAGUGGGGAAUAUUGCACAAGGGGCGCAAGCCUGAGGCAGCCAGGCCGGGUGUAUGAAGAAGGCCUUCGGUUUGUAAAGUACUUUCAGCGGGGAGGCGUUACCCGCAGAAGAAGCACCGGCUAACUCCGUGCCAGCAGCCGCGGUAAUA